ACACUAAAUUCUUUGUAAAGUGAGGACUUCUGCCACAUUUUCCAGGCACUGUGCUGCUCUGACCCUGUAACAGAAGAAAGUGACCAUGCACUGAAGCCUCAGAAAUGUGAGGCAAAAUAAAUUUUUCUUCAUAUUAACUGCUUGAAUGAUUGAAGUUCAUGCUGCUCAUAUACACAUUGAGGACUAGGAUGGUUCGGGAACUUAUACUGCUAAGAACCAGACAUUUGUUAAUGCAGACACUGAGCCACCAACCAGGCAGCAUAGACCAGUUCAUAUGAGGCCCCCAACACAUAUGCAGCAGAGGACUUCCUGGAUUGGACUCAGAGAAUGGAUACCUAACCCUGGAGAGACUUGAGGCCCCAGAGAGUUUUGUGUAUGUCCUAAAAAGAGGAACUAUUCUAAAAGUAAUGAGUCUGACAUUGCCAGAUGCUAUUCUAACCAAGGAGUAAUGAAGUGAAACAGGCAAAGAAGAUGCAGAGCAUAAAGAUAAACAUUACCACCUAGGCACUUCUCAUUUCUUCAUCUGUAUGCUGUGAUGCAUAUCCACUCUAAGGGUCACUGUUACAAAGGUGUAAACUUGUGGGAAGGACAUCUGCUUGGAGGAAGAAGCCCCAGGAGGAUAUGCUAUGCACAUAUAAUCAACCACCUAGGAAGAUAUUUUUAUUCUCUGGACUCAUUUCAAAUCGGUUAAGCCAUUCAGUCCUUACAUGCAAUUACAGACUUGAUACAAUGAUGCUUAUCUACCAGUUCUGCAAAUGACAAACCUUGGCAUUUUUCAUGUGUUUCUAAUUCUGUAGACAGGUAGGAUGUUUAGUGAAUCCCAGUUACUUUUAAGUGUAAUAAAAAUUUGUUAAUAGUAGAAGUAUAGCAUCUACAUUUGAAAACACUAAGUACCAUAGAAUCUCAUUCUCAGUAAUAGAUAAUUUAAUAUUCUAUAAAUCAAUGUAUUAAAGUCUCAUACUCAAUGAUAGGAAAAUAAGUUAAGUUUGUUUGCAUUUAUUUAUUCUAUUUUUUCUUUUGUUUUUUUGAGAUUAUAAUAUAAUUAUAUUUUUGCUUCCCUUUCCUUCUUCCAAACCCUCCUUGCUCUCUUGCAAAUUCAUGGGCCUUUUUUUAUUGUUUGUUUGUUGUAUGUUAUUAGAUGUUAUUAUGAUAGAUGUUUUUAGGGCUGAUCUGUUUUUUCUAUAUAUGUGUUUUGCAUAUAUGUAUUUAUGUGUGUGUGUGUAUGUGUGUGUGUGUGAGUGUGUGUGUGUGUUUCACACAUGUACCUGGUGUUGACGGGAGGUAGAUUAUAUCCUGGAAGUGGAGUUAAAAAUGACUGAGAGUCUUCACAUAGAUACUGGGAACUAACCCCAGAUCCUCCACAGGAUUGGCAAGUACUUAUAACUGCAGCACCACCUCUCAUGUCACAUGAAUUAUAUUUUAUUAAAAUUAAAGAUGUCUAUUCUCUAAGAAGAUAUGUAACAGGGAGUGAAACAAAUACUGAACAUGUAAUAAAAGUAUACAAAAUAAAGUUAAAACCCAACACUAAGAAGGCAAAACUCAAUUUUAAAUUGUCAAGCAAUCUAAAAAUAUCAAAUGCUAGUUGUAAUGCAUUACUAAAGCUAAAAUGUAUAGUAAAUAUUCCAUUCUUCUAUAAACAUUUUAGUAAACGAAUUGUUGAAUCU
ensembl:processed_transcript